rnacentral:rRNA from 1 species
UACGAAGGGGGCUAGCGUUGCUCGGAAUCACUGGGCGUAAAGCGCACGUAGGCGGCUUUCUAAGUCAGGGGUGAAAUCCUGGAGCUCAACUCCAGAACUGCCUUUGAUACUGGAGAGCUCGAGUCCGGAAGAGGUGAGUGGAACUCCGAGUGUAGAGGUGAAAUUCGUAGAUAUUCGCAAGAACACCAGUGGCGAAGGCGGCCGACUGGUCCGGUUCUGACGCUGAGGCGCGAAAGCGUGGGGAGCAAACAGG